rnacentral:rRNA from 1 species
GACUUCCUCCGGACUAUAAAACCCAGAAAUCCCUCUAAGACCCCCUCUUUUUAGUCUUCCUCUCACGCCGGCCUCCCCCAGCGGAAUGCGGGCAACCGCGACGGGGCUACCCCGAGUGCCGGGCGAAGAGCCCGGCUUUUGCCCGGUCUAAAACGCCGGGCGAAUAAGCGGGGGGCAAGUCUGGUGUCAGCCGCCGCGGUAAUACCAGCUCCGCGAGUGGUCGGGGUGUUUACUGGGCUUAAAGCGCCCGUAGCCGGCCCGGCAAGUCGCUCCUGAAAUCCCCGGGCUCAACCCGGGGGCGGGGGGCGAUACUGCCGGGCUAGGGGGCGGGAGAGGCCGCCGGUACUCCGGGGGUAGGGGCGAAAUCCGUUAAUCCCCGGAGGACCACCAGUGGCGAAAGCGGGCGGCCAGAACGCGCCCGACGGUGAGGGGCGAAAGCCGGGGGAGCAAAGGGGAUUAGAUACCCCAGUAGUCCCGGCCGUAAACGAUGCGG